CAAAUUAUAGCUAAUUUAAGUAUUUUAUUUACAUUAAAAUGAUAAUUAUUUAUAUAAUUUAAUUUGA
rnacentral:tRNA from 1 species